ACUCAACAAGAAUUUUUUAAAAAGGGUGAGUCUAGUCUGCUAAAGCAAGCCUAUUUAAGGAUCCUUGAUCAGUUAGUUAGCCCUAAACUUUUUAGUAAUAGAGUUU
rnacentral:sRNA from 1 species